CUGAGCCUCGGAGGCUCUGGUUCUGUCCACGAAGCUGCCUCCCCUCACGCCCUCGCUGCCAGCCAACCUGGGCCGGGAGAAGGCCAGGCAGUCUGUUAGAUAUUUCCCCCACUUGGUUUCCCACCCGUGCCUCGAUUCCAACCAGACGACCCUUUCUAGCAUACAGGGCCCGCACUGUUGGGCAUGAGAUUCCCAGGGCAGUUCAAGGGUUCCGCAGAUGGGGACAGAUUUCCGCAAAGCAGCAGCGCCUCCUGGGAGCGCACUCAUUCGUCCUCAAAGGAUUGCACGCCCCAGAGUAGAGCGCUGGGGCAAAGGGGCUGUUCGUGUUCGACCUAGCCCUGCCGGCCACAGAUCUCCAACCUUCCCACACCACCGAUGGGGUUCCUAGAACCGGCUGCAAGGAACUGCCAGGAAGUCCCCAGGGACACCCUAGCCCAAGCACCCAGCGCUCCUAAACAGGGUCCCAGAUGUGCGGAUUGAGCGCGAGCUCCAACAUCUGCGCAAAGACUCGGGGCGGGGUAGCCACUGGCCAAAAAGCCUUGGGCUCCGGGUCGUUCUGGAGAAAGGCUUUCGGGAACUCCAACACAGGUACACCGUGCAGAGCGAGGAGUCCCAAUUCCCCAGCCUGAGAAGUGACCGUCGGGGUCCGGAGCUUUGUGUCCCCUCCCUGGCCCGAGCGGGCCGGCGCGCUGGUGGGGCCUGCGGAAAACCCUGCCUGAGGCCGGCAAGGGACGUCGACAUGAAGAGAAAGGUGGGCGCGAGCUCGGUCAUUCAAACUCUCCCCCACCCUGCCGCAGCCACGACCCGGCGGGGGAGCAGGAGAGAAAGAAAGGAGAGAAGAGAGAGGGAAGAAAGUUGCGCCGGGCUCUCUCGCGGGGCGGUGCGCAGAGCUGCUCGAUAAGGAGAGGAGCCUUCAACUCUGAGUCCCGUGAACAUAAUCUGCGCGGUUAUAACCAGCCAACCCGGCCAGAU